GGUCCAGAUGAAGGAAGAGCUAGAGCACAGGUACCAAGAGAGCCAAAGUUUGAGGGAACAUGAGGAGGCAAAGACCAAAGAGGAGAUCCAGAGGCUCUCUGAAGCGAUCCUCCAACUUGAGCUUCAAGUAUCAAAGAAGCAGAAGAAAAAAUGCUUCUGUAGAUGGUUCUGGAAAAAGAUGAACUGAACAACCAUUCCAGAGGUCCCAAAGACAAAAAACGGAAAGAACAAUACUUCCUGAAACUGCAGUUGCCAAUUUACACUGAACACUGAGAACAAAUAAGGUCUAUUUCCUGACUGGUACUUGAGGACAGACAGUAAUAAUCGCCGUCAGAUGCCUGCGGCGCCCAGAGAAUGGGCAGACGGAUCCAGUUUAGUCACACGUCAGUAGAUAUUUUCUUCUUUGAGGAUGUUUUUAAAUGAGUCAGUGUUGCUCUUAACAGUAUUUAUCUGUGGGAUGUGUGAAUAUGUAACUACGUUUUAAUAGACACUUGUUUUGUAGAUGCUUUGUGACCAUCACGCCAUUAUCAGUUAUUGGACCAGAUCGAUACAGAAAGCCGUCAAACACCACCAGAAAACACGGAUAAUAAUAAAUAACAAUGCUGGAUUUUUUAAAUAUAUAAUAUAAAUGAAUACACAGAGGAACAAACAGCCUGGUUUCCUUUCUUAUGUUCAAUAUAAAAAGCAGAGGUAAAACCAAACAGCAAUACUGUUAUUUAUGUGUCAUAAGAUCACAUCUCCAGCAACCCUUCAACCUCUAAAAUGUAUUAUAUUUCCUUCAAAAUGAAAGAAUUCUGUCACUUUAAACGUUGAAGUAUAUACCCUUUAAAAUGUUCUGCAGUCAUAAGUUACCUUUUGAUUUUUCAGAAACGUUGGCAUGUUUCUUUUCUCCAGGACCGAUAUGAAAUGUUCCCUAUUUCCGAAUCCGUUUGACCUUUCAUUCCAGACGACGACUGUAGAAACCAUCAAACAUCUGCUUCACAAAUGACCGUCACUCUAUCACUUACUAAUAAUGUACAGAGAAAAUAUGCUGUUCGAAACCUUUAGGAAAGAGUAAUAAUGGUGUCGGCUAACAAGCUUUAACGGUUAGGAAAUUUUGGAAAUGUUCAUUUUAAGGUUUGUGUCUUUGCUUUACUUGCCUGAAGAAGGUCAAAUAUGUGAAACUCUUAACCAAAUACAAAAAAAAACAAAGUAAAAAAAAUAAUCAUGGACAUUUGUCCCAUAAGUACCUGGAAUGCAAAUACUCUGUUGGUUUUUAUGUGUACAAUAGUUGUAUAUACGAAUAAAAGUGUCCUGAAGUUGCAACAGCUAUUGGAGGUCUAAUUUAAAUAUAGAGCCUGGGGGGAAAUAAAGCUG
rnacentral:lncRNA from 1 species